GCAAACUUGGUCAUUUAGAGGAAGUAAAAGUCGUAACAAGGUCUCCGUUGGUGAACCAGCGGAGGGAUCAUUAACGACGAGUCUUCACUCGAAGACCCCCUGUGGACAAUUUGACCAGCAUGGUUGGCUCGGUAGGCGUCCUCUGGGAGAGGGCCAGCGCUGUCGAAGCCACGGCAGGCCUGCCGGCAGAGCCAACCACUAAACUCUUGAUUUACUGAGUCUCUCUGAGAAUUGACGGAAUAUCAAAACUUUCAACAACGGAUCUCUUGGUUCCGGCAUCGAUGAAGAACGCAGC
rnacentral:misc_RNA from 1 species